UUGAAAGGGAAACGAUUGAAGUCAGUCGUGCUGGCGCGAAAUCAACCUUCUCGUCUCGAGAUCACAUGGCGUGGCGAGCCUCAAAACCGUCACGAAGCGUGAACUCUUGGUGAAAUGGAGCACUUUCGUGUCCGCUGGUUAACAUCAAUUUCGAACGUCAUAAAAAGGCUGGAGGGAUGUGGCUCCUUCGGGAGUGUUAUAACCUUUAGCGGAAUGUGGUGUUCGGGAUUGAGGAUUGCAACGAAUACCUUUAGGGCUGUUCCACCUGGCUUCUCUUUGGUAUCCUGGUGACGACAGCUUGCUGACGUCGUUAGGAUUCGCCUUUGAACAGGCUAGAGUGUGAGCAAAUUCGUUAAGGAUGUUGACGUA
rnacentral:rRNA from 1 species